rnacentral:rRNA from 1 species
GAUGAACGCUGGCGGCGUGCCUAAUACAUGCAAGUCGAGCGAACAGAUAAGGAGCUUGCUCCUUUGACGUUAGCGGCGGACGGGUGAGUAACACGUGGGUAACCUACCUAUAAGACUGGGAUAACUUCGGGAAACCGGAGCUAAUACCGGAUAAUAUUUCGAACCGCAUGGUUCGAUAGUGAAAGAUGGUUUUGCUAUCACUUAUAGAUGGACCCGCGCCGUAUUAGCUAAUUGGUAAGGUAACGGCUUACCAAGGCGACGAUACGUAGCCGACCUGAGAGGGUGAUCGGCCACACUGGAACUGAGACACGGUCCAGACUCCUACGGGAGGCAGCAGUAGGGAAUCUUCCGCAAAGGGCGAAAGCCUGACGGAGCAACGCCGCGUGAGUGAUGAAGGUCUUCGGAUCGUAAAACUCUGUUAUUAGGGAAGAACAUACGUGUAAGUAACUGUGCACGUCUUGACGGUACCUAAUCAGAAAGCCACGGCUAACUACGUG